UCAGCUUGGUGGCCAGCGAGCAGCCGUUCGUGUAAGCGUCGGGCCGGACGUGGGCGGGGAAGCGGCGAGACAGGAUCUCCGCCACCAGCUUUUCCCAAGUCAAGUUUGAAAAGCACUCUGCACACCUGAAGAAAAUGAGUAUCUACUAAGCUGUGAAUGCUCUGAAGAACAUCUGUUAAUAUAAUUAUUAAAGUGACAUCUGAAAUUCAGUGAUGCCAGAUCCCACUCUGAAGUCUGUAUUGCAUCUACACCCACCUUAUCUCCCUGCCCUCACACAGAGACAUCAGCAGCUGGCUGCUAAAACCUUUCAAAUCUAAAUGCUUGCACCAUCUCUAUUAGAAUAAAAAUCUUUAAGCAAAGUACUGCAGAAAAAAAUUGUGCAAAUCAGGCUUGGGAAAAGCUUCCACAUUCCUACUGAUUUAUUGGUAAACAUAAUAAUUAACCAUGAAAUACCACAGAGAUGAAAAUAUGUUCAAAAUA